rnacentral:rRNA from 1 species
CCACGCGACCCCAGGUCAGGC